GGUUAAGCGACUAAGCGUACACGGUGGAUGCCCUGGCAGUCAGAGGCGAUGAAGGACGUGCUAAUCUGCGAAAAGCGUCGGUAAGGUGAUAUGAACCGUUAUAACCGGCGAUGUCCGAAUGGGGAAACCCAGUGCAAUUCGUUGCACUAUCGUUAACUGAAUACAUAGGUUAACGAGGCGAACCGGGGAACUGAAACAUCUAAGUACCCCGAGGAAAAGAAAUCAACCGAGAUUCCCCCAGUAGCGGCGAGCGAACGGGGAGCAGCCCAGAGUCUGAAUCAGCUUGUGUGUUAGUGGAACGGUCUGGAAAGUCCGACGGUACAGGGUGAUAGUCCCGUACACCAAAAUGCACAGGCUGUGAACUCGAAGAGUAGGGCGGGACACGUGGUAUCCUGUCUGAAUAUGGGGGGACCAUCCUCCAAGGCUAAAUACUCCUGACUGACCGAUAGUGAACCAGUACCGUGAGGGAAAGGCGAAAAGAACCCCGGCGAGGGGAGUGAAAAAGAACCUGAAACCGUGUACGUACAAGCAGUGGGAGCACCUUCGGGUGUGACUGCGUACCUUUUGUAUAAUGGGUCAGCGACUUAUAUUCUGUAGCAAGGUUAACCGUAUAGGGGAGCCGCAGGGAAACCGAGUCUUAACUGGGCGUUAAGUUGCAGGGUAUAGACCCGAAACCCGGUGAUCUAGCCAUGGGCAGGUUGAAGGUUGGGUAACACUAACUGGAGGACCGAACCGACUAAUGUUGAAAAAUUAGCGGAUGACUUGUGGCUGGGGGUGAAAGGCCAAUCAAACCGGGAGAUAGCUGGUUCUCCCCGAAAGCUAUUUAGGUAGCGCCUCGUGAACUCAUCUUCGGGGGUAGAGCACUGUUUCGGCUAGGGGUCAUCCCGACUUACCAACCCGAUGCAAACUACGAAUACCGAAGAAUGUUAUCACGGGAGACACACGGCGGGUGCUAACGUCCGUCGUGAAGAGGGAAACAACCCAGACCGCCAGCUAAGGUCCCAAAGUCAUGGUUAAGUGGGAAACGAUGUGGGAAGGCACAGACAGCCAGGAUGUUGGCUUAGAAGCAGCCAUCAUUUAAAGAAAGCGUAAUAGCUCACUGGUCGAGUCGGCCUGCGCGGAAGAUGUAACGGGGCUAAACCAUGCACCGAAGCUGCGGCAGCGACACUAUGUGUUGUUGGGUAGGGGAGCGUUCUGUAAGCCUGCGAAGGUGACCUGUGAGGGUUGCUGGAGGUAUCAGAAGUGCGAAUGCUGACAUAAGUAACGAUAAAGCGGGUGAAAAGCCCGCUCGCCGGAAGACCAAGGGUUCCUGUCCAACGUUAAUCGGGGCAGGGUGAGUCGACCCCUAAGGCGAGGCCGAAAGGCGUAGUCGAUGGGAAACAGGUUAAUAUUCCUGUACUUGGUGUUACUGCGAAGGGGGACGGAGAAGGCUAUGUUAGCCGGGCGACGGUUGUCCCGGUUUAAGCAUGUAGGCUGGUUGUCCAGGCAAAUCCGGAUAAUCAAGGCUGAGGUGUGAUGACGAGGCACUACGGUGCUGAAGUAACAAAUGCCCUGCUUCCAGGAAAAGCCUCUAAGCAUCAGGUAACAUUAAAUCGUACCCCAAACCGACACAGGUGGUCAGGUAGAGAAUACCAAGGCGCUUGAGAGAACUCGGGUGAAGGAACUAGGCAAAAUGGUGCCGUAACUUCGGGAGAAGGCACGCUGGUGUGUAGGUGAAGUCCCUGCGGAUGGAGCUGAGACCAGUCGAAGAUACCAGCUGGCUGCAACUGUUUAUUAAAAACACAGCACUGUGCAAACACGAAAGUGGACGUAUACGGUGUGACGCCUGCCCGGUGCCGGAAGGUUAAUUGAUGGGGUUAUCCGUAAGGAGAAGCUCUUGAUCGAAGCCCCGGUAAACGGCGGCCGUAACUAUAACGGUCCUAAGGUAGCGAAAUUCCUUGUCGGGUAAGUUCCGACCUGCACGAAUGGCGUAAUGAUGGCCAGGCUGUCUCCACCCGAGACUCAGUGAAAUUGAACUCGCUGUGAAGAUGCAGUGUACCCGCGGCAAGACGGAAAGACCCCGUGAACCUUUACUAUAGCUUGACACUGAACAUUGAGCCUUGAUGUGUAGGAUAGGUGGGAGGCUUUGAAGCGUGGACGCCAGUCUGCGUGGAGCCAACCUUGAAAUACCACCCUUUAAUGUUUGAUGUUCUAACGUUGGCCCCUUACCGGGGUUGCGGACAGUGUCUGGUGGGUAGUUUGACUGGGGCGGUCUCCUCCCAAAGCGUAACGGAGGAGCACGAAGGUUAGCUAAUCCUGGUCGGACAUCAGGAGGUUAGUGCAAUGGCAUAAGCUAGCUUGACUGCGAGCGUGACGGCGCGAGCAGGUGCGAAAGCAGGUCAUAGUGAUCCGGUGGUUCUGAAUGGAAGGGCCAUCGCUCAACGGAUAAAAGGUACUCCGGGGAUAACAGGCUGAUACCGCCCAAGAGUUCAUAUCGACGGCGGUGUUUGGCACCUCGAUGUCGGCUCAUCACAUCCUGGGGCUGAAGUAGGUCCCAAGGGUAUGGCUGUUCGCCAUUUAAAGUGGUACGCGAGCUGGGUUUAGAACGUCGUGAGACAGUUCGGUCCCUAUCUGCCGUGGGCGCUGGAGAAUUGAGGGGGCUGCUCCUAGUACGAGAGGACCGGAGUGGACGCAUCACUGGUGUUCGGGUUGUCAUGCCAAUGGCACUGCCCGGUAGCUAAAUGCGGAAGAGAUAAGUGCUGAAAGCAUCUAAGCACGAAACUUGCCCCGAGAUGAGUUCUCCCUGAGACUUUAAGUCUCCUGAAGGAACGUUAAAGACGAUGACGUUGAUAGGCCGGGUGUGUAAGCGCAGCGAUGCGUUGAGCUAACCGGUACUAAUGAACCGUGAGGCUUAACCUU
rnacentral:rRNA from 1 species